UGCAUAUCCAAAAAGCGGAGGAAAAGAAACCAACAGGGAUUGCCCUAGUAACGGCGAGUGAACAGGCAAGAGCUCAGAUUUGAAAGGCACUUUUGUGCCGUUGUAUUCUGAAGUUAGGGUCCUGAGAAACGAUGCUUAAGUCUUCUGGAAAGGAGCGCCAUGGAGGGUGAUAGCCCCGUCUAGCAUUGACCUCAUAUAGGAUCUUAACAUGGAGUCGAGUUGUUUGGGAAUGCAGCUCAAAUGGGUGGUAUGCUCCAUCUAAAGCUAAAUAUCUGCGAGAGACCGAUAGUAAACAAGUACUGUGAGGGAAAGAUGAAAAGAACUUUGAAAAGAGAGUGAAAAAGUACGUGAAAUUGUUGAAAUGGAAGGGUAGGCCGCUAACCAUGUAGAGCCGUGUUUGGGGGGAAGAUAAAUGCUGUAGAAUGUAGCUCCUCGGAGUAUUAUAGAUGCAGUUCAUAUUCCCACCCGAGCGCGAGGAUCUCAGGUUCUACUAAAUGGUGGUCUACCACCCGUCUUGAAACACGGACCC
rnacentral:rRNA from 1 species